AAUUACAUGUCUUUUCUUGACACGUUCUCGGCGGCGGAAUUGUGAGGUACCAUGACUACGACCAAAAAUGGAUGGCCUAGCCGUGGUGUCAUUUGAACCAAGAUAGUCUGAUGCGGAAUAUUGGGUUGCAGGGGAAGAUACAGCAGAAAUAUCAUCAGAUUGAGUAGUCAAUUGCUGUAUAAUCGUAUCGGGAGGAGUUGACCGGUAUAUGGACAUAGGUAUUGAAGGAGAAGAAAUAGGAAGUAGUGCUUUUCUGGAUAAGGCUAAAGAAGCAAUAGAUCGAAU